GACGUAGGGGGCCAGCGUUGUUCGGAAUUACUGGGUGUAAAGGGUUCGUAGGCGGUGCGGCAAGUUGGGAGUGAAAUCUCUGGGCUUAACCCAGAGGCUGCUUCCAAAACUGCUGUGCUUGAGUGUGGGAGAGGCGCGUGGAAUUGCAGGUGUAGCGGUGAAAUGCGUAGAUAUCUGCAGGAACACCCGUGGCGAAAGCGGCGCUCUGGGCCGGUACUGACGCUGAGGAGCGAAAGCGUGGGUAGCAAACAGG
rnacentral:rRNA from 1 species